rnacentral:rRNA from 1 species
GUGAUUAGUGGCGAACGGGUGAGUAAUACGUGAGUAACCUGCCCUUGACUCUGGGAUAAGCCUGGGAAACCGGGUCUAAUACUGGAUACGACCCUCCAUCGCAUGGUGGGGGGUGGAAAGGGUUUGACUGGUUUUGGAUGGGCUCACGGCCUAUCAGCUUGUUGGUGGGGUAAUGGCUCACCAAGGCGACGACGGGUAGCCGGCCUGAGAGGGUGACCGGCCACACUGGGACUGAGACACGGCCCAGACUCCUACGGGAGGCAGCAGUGGGGAAUAUUGCACAAUGGGCGGAAGCCUGAUGCAGCGACGCCGCGUGAGGGAUGACGGCCUUCGGGUUGUAAACCUCUUUCAGCAGGGAAGAAGCCACAAGUGACGGUACCUGCAGAAGAAGCGCCGGCUAACUACGUGCCAGCAGCCGCGGUAAUACGUAGGGCGCAAGCGUUGUCCGGAAUUAUUGGGCGUAAAGAGCUCGUAGGCGGUUUGUCGCGUCUGCUGUGAAAGCCCGGGGCUCAACCCCGGGUCUGCAGUGGGUACGGGCAGACUAGAGUGCAGUAGGGGAGACUGGAAUUCCUGGUGUAGCGGUGAAAUGCGCAGAUAUCAGGAGGAACACCGAUGGCGAAGGCAGGUCUCUGGGCUGUUACUGACGCUGAGGAGCGAAAGCAUGGGGAGCGAACAGGAUUAGAUACCCUGGUAGUCCAUGCCGUAAACGUUGGGCACUA